rnacentral:rRNA from 1 species
AACGAACGCUGGCGGCAUGCCUAACACAUGCAAGUCGAACGAGUCCUUCGGGUCUAGUGGUGCACGGGUGCGUAACGCGUGGGAACCUGCCCUUAGGUUUGGAAUAAAUCGCCGGAAGGGGUGCUAAUACGGGAUCUUGUACUCGGACCAAAGAUUUAUCGCCUUUGGAUGGGCUCGCGUGGGCUUAGCUAGUUGGUAGGGUAAAAGCGUAUCAAGGCGACGAUCCAUACCUGGUCUGAGAGGAUGAUCAGCCACACUGGGACUGAGACACGGCCCAGACUCCUACAGGAGGCAGCAGUGGGUAAUAUUGGACAGUGGGCGAUGGCCUGAUCCAGCAAUGCCUCGUGAGUAAUGAAAGCCGUAGGGUUGGAAAGCUCUUUUACCCGGGAUGAUAAUGACAGUACCGGGAGAAUAAGCUCCGGCUAACUCCGUG